rnacentral:Y_RNA from 1 species
GGCUGGUCUGAUGGUAGUGGGUUAUCAGAACUUACUAACAUAAGUGUCACUAAAGUUGAUAUUCAACGCCCCACUGCUAACUUUGAUUGGCUUUUG